AUCAAUCUGAAGUAUUUUAUCACUUUAAAUAUUUGUGAUAAAGGCCACAAAACGUAAAAUAGAAAAAUAGAAUGCAGUGAUAGAAAUUUAAUUUCGCAUUUGGAUUGACAUGAAACACGAUUUUCCGGAAUGUUUUUAAACAAUAAUGGAAGCCUGCGAUUAUCCACUAAUUGUUUUACACAAAAACCAUAGAAAUAGCAUACUAUAGUAAAGCAACGCGACCAUGAAUAUUUUUAAACAAUAAGUGAGGGUGACUCAUCUAAAUCAGUGGAAGCCUUUUUUAACUAUUCUGGUGAUAUAAACGUCAUAUUAUAUACAUAAUACAUGAGUUUUUAGUAAACACUAUUUAUCCUUUUAUAAUUGUAUACAUACUUUCGUAGGACCUUUCUAGUUUAUUUGUAGUUUAAGAUUUUUGAAUUUGGAUCUCACUGGCAAUAAAAAAACAAUGUUUUCUAUUCACAAUAAAUGAUUAUGUGUGGUUGACAAGUAGCUCCGGGUAUCUGAAAACUAAUGAAUUUAAUAUAUUAACCGUUAUCGGGGUUGUUUUUAGCAUACAAAAAUGUUUUCAAAAAGGGGGCCAUAUCCGCUAAAUGGGGUGCAUAUCUACUAGGAGGUUUGACCCGCUGUGACAAGUUCGCUAGGUGUCACGCGUGUCAAAAUAUCCUGUGACGUGCGCAUAUUUUUCUUAGAGUUGAGCGGGCAACGAAUACUUUGUACUCGCAGAUUGCAAGCACAUAUCAAAUCAAAGUA